GUCCGCCCAGGUCUUACCUAGUGUGUCUAGACAGUGAAUAUGCUAUGGGUAUAUGUAUGCCCGCGGGCCUCUUGCCUAAGCACUCCCUAGGUGCCUUCCCCUUCCCCCCUGGGAACAAAUGAAACAGAAUAUUAAACAAUUUCAAACAAACUAAGAAACAAAAGGAUGUCAAAUAAGCUCUAUCUGAGCAACAAACUCACAGAACAUACCACUUUCCAGCAAAAUCAACCUCUAUCAAAAUCAACCUCUAUCACAAUCAAUCUCAGCAAUCCCUACCUCCAGCAAAAUCUCUACCUCCAAAAAGAUCUCCCUCCUGAACAGAACACUGGCUUUUAUAUAGCUUCAGAAGGAAUGGGUAAUUGGAGACAGCUGUGUCUUGACGAGGGGGCGGGGUCAGCUCUCCAAUUAGCCCUGGAGUCAACCAAUCAGCUGCUUGAGGGAUUUCAGGAAGCCAUUUCCUGAAAUAAACACAUGCAAAUACACAAUCUACAACACAUAAUCUGGGGAACGUAACAGUGCCAUUCAUCCGCCACCAUCACCUCAUGUUUCAGCAUGAUAAUGCACAGCUCCAUGUCGCAAGGAUCUGUCCCAGUUCUUCCAUGGCCUACAUACUCACCAGACAUGUCAACCAUUGAGCAUGUUUGGGAUGCUCUGGAUCGACAUGUACGACAGCGUGUUCCAGUUCCCCCCAAUAUCCAGCAACUUUGCACAGCCAAUGAAGAGGAGUGGGACAACAUUCCACAAUCAACAGCCUGAUCAACUCUACGAGGUAAAUGUUGUUGACACCAGAUACUGACUGGUUUUCUGAUCCACGCCCCUACCUUUUUUAAAAGGUAUCUGACCAACAGAUGCAUAUCUGUAUUCCCACUCAUGUGAAAUCCAUAGAUUAGGGCCUAAUGAAUUUAUUUAAAUUGACUGAUUUCCUCAUAUGAACUGUAACUCAGUAAAAUCUUUGAAAUUCUUGCGCGUUGCGUUUAGAUUUUUGUAUAGCUGGUUAAUUGUGGUCCCAUUUAAGGUCUGUAGGGCAGCCUGUAUCUGGCCCACCUCUUGGCCGGGGACCUAGGUGGGAACUCAGCCAUGGCCCCAUGUAAGGUCUGUAGGGCAGCCUGUAUCUGGCCCAUCUCUUGGCCGGGGACCUAGGUGGGAUCUCAGCCGUACCUUUGUGCAGUAUGUGAACCUGGGCUGAACCUUUUUAUUUGACAAUUAUUUUUCACUGUAUGAUACAAAGUAUUCAGACCUCUUGACUUUUUCCACAUUUUGUAACGUUACAGCCUUAUUCUAAAAAUGGAUUAAAUAAAACAUUUCCCUCAUUAAUCUACACACAAUACCCCAUAAUGACAUCACAAUAGCCCAUAAUCACAAAGUUAAAAACCUUAUUUACAUAAGUAUUCAGACCCUUUGCUAUGAGACUCGAAAUUGAACUCAGGUGCAUCCUGUUUCCAUUAAUCAUCCUUGAGAUGUUUCUAUAACUUGACUGGAGUCCACCUGUGGUAAAUUCAAUUGAUUGGACAUGAUUUGGAAAGAAACACACCUGGCUAUAUAAGGUCCCACAGUCGACAGUGCAUGUCAGAGCAAAAACCAAGCCAUGAGGUCAAAGAAAUUGUCCGUAGAGCUCAGAGAGGAUUGUGAUGAGGUACAGAUCUGGGGGAAGGGUACCAAAAAAUGUCUGCAGUAUUGAAGGUCCCCAAGAACACAGUGGCCUCCAUCAUUAAAUCAAAGAAGUUUGGAACCACAAAGACUCUUCCUAGAUCUGUCCGCCCGGCCAAACUGAGCAGCAUCAUGCUGUGGGGAUGUUUUUCAGCGGCAGGGACUGGGAGGGAAAAGAUCAAGGGAAAGAUGAACGAUGCGAUGCAAAGUACAGAGAGAUCCUUGAUGAAAACCUGCCAAAGGUGCUUCAACAAAGUACUGAGUAAAGGGUCUGAAUACUUAUGUAAAUGUGAUAUUUUUUUACAUUUUUUUUAUACAUUUCAAAAAAAUCUGUUUUUGCUUUGUCAUUAUGGGGUAUUGUGUGUAGAUUAAUGAGAGAAAAACAAUUAAACCAUUUUCCUCCCUCUAGCUGGUGUUAUAGGUGAUAUAAUGUGUUAGUGCCCAGACGGCAUCCCCAGCCACGUCCUCAGAGCCUGCGCAGACCAGCUGGCUGUUUACGGACAUAUUCAAUCUCUCCAGCACUAACACAUUAUAUCACCUAUAACACCAGCUAGAACAUUAAAUAUUCAGUCAAAAAUGAUACAACUUUACAUUAUUUCAUGAUGAAUAAAAUAAAUCAUUAAUCUAAACAAUUUGAGGAAUUGUCUUUCAGAAAGAGUGUAGCAGAGGACUUAAUUGGUUGACAGAGAAUCAAGAGCAAAGGAUUGUGGGAUAGAUAGUAGAGUGGAAGGAGGGCAGAAAUGUUUUGGGCAGGAGGAGCUACUUAGGUCCAAAAGGCACUGUGUGCUUUUGGUCCAGCUGGUUCGAAUUCCAGAGCAAGGAACUUCAGCCUCAAUUUCUCUGGAUGAAAGUGUCUGCUAAAUGACUAUAAUCAUAGAUCUCAAUCAGUUGAAUCAGGACUGUUAUAUAGCUGGACCAAAAGCCUACAGUAGUCAGGGCAUCUUAGCAUAGCGUCUCUCUGCCAGGUGGGGCCUCGUUAGGGCUGUUACGGUUACCAUUACCGGCAGUCAAAUUCCACGUCACGGUAAUUAGGCAUCUCCAAGCUCUGCUGCUGGUGAUUGUUAACCAACUAAACUUGCUAACUACCUGGUACUCAGCAUUUUAUUGUGCCUCUAAUCACUCUGACAUCAAUGUAAAAUCAAAUCAAACACUUCAUGAGAGCCCAUGAGCUCAAGUGGAGCAACGUUUCUAUAGGGUAUGUCAUUAUGUAAGAAUACAGAGUGAUGACCUCUAUUAAAAAUAGGAGGAACCCAUCAGCUUUCUAUAGGCUAAGCCUACUAUAUUUAUUUAAGAACGUUCCUGAUAUUAAGCACAUUGCUUCUCUUUACAACAGGAGUAUAGCCUACCUGGCUGGCAUGAGAAUGAACCAGGGGAAACGCAUCCUCCAUUCUCUAUUCAAAUGCAUCUAUUUUUUU
ensembl:lncRNA